rnacentral:rRNA from 1 species
AUUGAACGCUGGCGGCAUGCCUAACACAUGCAAGUCGAACGAGUGGCGGACGGGUGAUUAAUGUCUGGGAAACUGACUGAGGGAGGGGGAUCACUACUGGAAGCGAUAGCUAAUACCGCCUACCAUGAGAUGUGCCCAGAUGGGAUUAGGUUGUUGGUGGGGUACAGGCUCACCAAGGCGACGCUCCGUAACUGGUCUGAGAGGAUGAUCAGCCACACUGGAACUGAGACACGGCCCAGACUCCUACGGGAGGCAGCAGUGGGGAAUAUUGGACAAUGGGGGAAACCCUGAUCCAGCCAUGCCGCGUGUGUGAAGAAGGUCUUCGGAUUGUAAAGCACUUUAAGCGGGGAGGCGUUACCAACAGAAUAAGCACCGGCUAACUUCGUGCCAGCAGCCGCGGUAAUAC